CCCUGCGCCCGCUGCUGUUGGCUGCGGCCCUGCGGCGGGGCGGGGCGGUGGGCGGCUUGGCGGGAGCUACACUGUGGGGGGCGGUCGUGGGGUCCUGUCAGCAGCCGGCUGCUGGAGGAUGGGAGGGUCUUGUCAGGCGGGUGUUGUGCCGCAGUCCGUUGCUUUGUGUUUUCAGUCUGUAUAAAUGUCUCAGACAGGAGAUGUGCGUGUGGUGUUGGGGAGUUGUGUCCUCAGCGUGAAGUAUGAAUCACAGAAUCGCUUGAGUUGGGAAGGAGCCGUAAGGGCCAUCUGGCCCAAUUCCUCUGCAACAAACUGGGACGCCUCCAGUUCGAUCCGGCGCUCAGAGCCCCGUCCAGCCUGACCUUGGGUGUCUGCGGGAAUCCACCACCUCUCUAGGCAACCCGUGCCACUGCCUCACCACCCUGACUUCUCCCUUUAGAUACAGGAAGGCAGCUCAGAUCAUCUCAGAGCCUUCUCCGUGCUGAACAGCCCCAGCUCUUUCAGCCUGUCCUCAUAGGAGAGGUGUUCCAUCCCUCGGAUCACUUCUGUGGCCCUCCUCUGGACACGCUCCAGCAGGUCCAUGUCCCUCCUGUGCUGAGCACUCGACAUCUGGAUGUAGUACUCCAGCUGAGGCCUCACAAUGCACGGCAGAGGGGCAGGAUCACUCCCUCGCCCUGCUGGCCACACUGCUUUUGGAUGCAGCCCAGGAUAGGGUUGGCUUUCUGGGCUGUGAGGGCACCUUGCUGGCUCAUGAAGCAGUAUGAAGUUUGCAGUAUGUUAGACAAGCUUAGCUUGGUGUUUGAUCACAGUCCUAGUGCAGAAAAACGGAAAUUAAGACUUAACAAAUGACAAAGGAUUGUUAAUGCUUGAGAGAUUAGGGAAUCACUUUGUGUUUCCUUCUGGAAAUGAAAGUUCUAAUAUUGAUAGAUAAUAAAAAAGGGUAAUAUUAGCAGAGGGAUUUUACUCCUUGUUACAGACUGAGUAAGGUCCACAGACAGUUGUUUUUGCGUACCACUAUGAAACAUUUGGGCUGGACUAGUGGUGAAGGAUGUGACAGUAGACAUAAUACAUAGAGAAACAUGGAGAAAAUAACGAUCCUGAUGCAUGUGAGUUAGUAGAGCUAAUGCUGUCCAGGCAUGAGAAAUAGGUGUGACAGUGUGACAUGGACACAUGUCCUUACAAUGAAUUGUAAAGUAGCAGGAGGAAGCUGUGUAGAUAAACAAGAAUCAAGCUUAUCUAGCUCUGAUGAAAAAAAAAAUUCUAAGAGCUUUGAUGGUUUCUGCUAUAGUCUAGAAGAGCUGGAUUUGGAUAAGGAUAGUGCUUACUGUGUGAUACCAUCAGGAAUUAUGUCGCAGGUAGAGUUCUUUAUUCAAUACAGAUGACAUAUAAGCCCAGUUGUUCUCUCAUACAUCAGCUCCAAGCUUACUGAGCAGGUACUGCAUUGCCCUAGAGUCACUCUUAUUAGGUGUAAAAAAUUCUGAGAAGAGCUUUUGGCCUGAUACCACAUUUUUAGUUUGAUUAUAGAAACACAAUACAGAGAUAAAGAAAGAUAUAUUGAAAUUCAUGAUGUUGGAAGGGAGAACUCUGAAAAAUCAAAUGGAUUAGUUAGUGAGAUGUCAGUUGUACAGGAGUCCUGAGGGCCCUGGAAGUAAAGAAAGUAUGAAAUUGUUUUAUGUCAAAGGUAGAAUUUACUUGGAAGUAGUAUUAAAAAAAAA